UGCCUAAUACAUAGCAAGUCGCAGCGGACAGAUGGGAGCUUGCUCCCUGAUGUUAGCGGCGGACGGGUGAGUAACACGUGGGUAACCUGCCUGUAAGACUGGGAUAACUCCGGGAAACCGGGGCUAAUACCGGAUGGUUGUUUGAACCGCAUGGUUCAGACAUAAAAGGUGGCUUCGGCUACCACUUACAGAUGGACCCGCGGCGCAUUAGCUAGUUGGUGAGGUAACGGCUCACCAAGGCGACGAUGCGUAGCCGACCUGAGAGGGUGAUCGGCCACACUGGGACUGAGACACGGCCCAGACUCCUACGGGAGGCAGCAGUAGGGAAUCUUCCGCAAUGGACGAAAGUCUGACGGAGCAACGCCGCGUGAGUGAUGAAGGUUUUCGGAUCGUAAAGCUCUGUUGUUAGGGAAGAACAAGUGCCGUUCAAAUAGGGCGGCACCUUGACGGUACCUAACCAGAAAGCCACGGCUAACUACGUGCCAGCAGCCGCGGUAAUACGUAGGUGGCAAGCGUUGUCCGGAAUUAUUGGGCGUAAAGGGCUCGCAGGCGGUUUCUUAAGUCUGAUGUGAAAGCCCCCGGCUCAACCGGGGAGGGUCAUUGGAAACUGGGGAACUUGAGUGCAGAAGAGGAGAGUGGAAUUCCACGUGUAGCGGUGAAAUGCGUAGAGAUGUGGAGGAACACCAGUGGCGAAGGCGACUCUCUGGUCUGUAACUGACGCUGAGGAGCGAAAGCGUGGGGAGCGAACAGGAUUAGAUACCUGAGUAGUCCAA
rnacentral:rRNA from 1 species